rnacentral:rRNA from 1 species
CAGGCCUAACACAUGCAAGUCGAGCGAACAGAUAAGGAGCUUGCUCCUUUGAAGUUAGCGGCGGACGGGUGAGUAACACGUGGGUAACCUACCUAUAAGACUGGGAUAACUUCGGGAAACCAGAGCUAAUACCGGAUAACAUUUAGAACCGCAUGGUUCUAAAGUGAAAGAUGGUUUUGCUAUCACUUAUAGAUGGACCCGCGCCGUAUUAGCUAGUUGGUAAGGUAACGGCUUACCAAGGCGACGAUACGUAGCCGACCUGAGAGGGUGAUCGGCCACACUGGAACUGAGACACGGUCCAGACUCCUACGGGAGGCAGCAGUAGGGAAUCUUCCGCAAUGGGCGAAAGCCUGACGGAGCAACGCCGCGUGAGUGAUGAAGGGUUUCGGCUCGUAAAACUCUGUUAUUAGGGAAGAACAAAUGUGUAAGUAACUGUGCACAUCUUGACGGUACCUAAUCAGAAAGCCACGGCUAACUACGUGCCAGCAGCCGCGGUAAU